UGGGGGAUAUUGGACAAUGGGGGAAACCCUGAUCCAGCGACGCCGCGUGAGUGAAGAAGUAUUUCGGUAUGUAAAGCUCUGUCAGCAGGGAAGAAGAAAGUGACGGUACCUGACCAAGAAGCCCCGGCUAACUACGUGCCAGCAGCCGCGGUAAUACGUAGGGGGCAAGCGUUAUUCGGAAUUACUGGGUGUAAAGGGAGCGUAGACGGUAAUGUAAGUCUGGAGUGAAAGGCGGGGGCCCAACCCCCGGACUGCUCUGGAAACUAUGUUACUGGAGUGCAGGAGAGGUAAGCGGAAUUCCUAGUGUAGCGGUGAAAUGCGUAGAUAUUAGGAGGAACACCAGUGGCGAAGGCGGCUUACUGGACUGUAACUGACGUUGAGGCUCGAAAGCGUGGGGAGCAAACAGG
rnacentral:rRNA from 1 species